rnacentral:rRNA from 1 species
GUGUCAGCAGCCGCGGUAAUACGAAGGGUGCAAGCGUUGUUCGGAAUCAUUGGGCGUAAAGCGCGCGCAGGCGGAUCAGUAAGUCAGAUGUGAAAUCUCGAAGCUCAACUUCGAAACUGCGUCUGAAACUACUAGUCUAGAGUGUCGGAGGGGGAAGGGGAAUUUCACGUGUAGGGGUAAAAUGCGUAGAGAUGUGAAGGAACACCGGGGGCGAAGGCGCCUUCCUGGACGACUACUGACGCUGAGGCGCGAAAGCGUGGGGAGCAAACAGGAUUAGAAACCCUGGUAGUCC